UACGUAGGGGGCAAGCGUUGUCCGGAAUUAUUGGGCGUAAAGAGCGUGUAGGCGGCCAGAUAAGUCCGCUGUGAAAUCUCGAGGCUCAACUUCGAGCUGUCGGUGGAAACUAUCUGGCUAGAGUCCGGAAGAGGAGAAUGGAAUUCCUGGUGUAGCGGUGAAAUGCGCAGAUAUCAGGAAGAACACCCGUGGCGAAGGCGGGACUCUGGGCCGAUGACUGACGCUGAGGAGCGAAAGCGUGGGGAGCAAACAGG
rnacentral:rRNA from 1 species